rnacentral:piRNA from 1 species
UGGCCCGUGGUAGUCCCUGAUCGUCC